GUUGAGAUAGCUCAGUUGGUAGAGCCUAGGACUGAAAAUCCUCGCGCCGCCGGUUCAAAUCCGGUUCUCAACA
rnacentral:tRNA from 1 species